rnacentral:rRNA from 1 species
GAUGAACGCUGGCGGCGUGCCUAAUACAUGCAAGUCGAGCGAAUGGAUUAAGAGCUUGCUCUUAUGAAGUUAGCGGCGGACGGGUGAGUAACACGUGGGUAACCUGCCCAUAAGACUGGGAUAACUCCGGGAAACCGGGGCUAAUACCGGAUAACAUUUUGAACCGCAUGGUUCGAAAUUGAAAGGCGGCUUCGGCUGUCACUUAUGGAUGGACCCGCGUCGCAUUAGCUAGUUGGUGAGGUAACGGCUCACCAAGGCAACGAUGCGUAGCCGACAUGGGAGGGUGCUCGGCCACACUGGGACUGAGAAACGGCCCAGACUCCUACGGGAGGCAGCAGUAGGGAAUCUUCCGCAAUGGACGAAAGUCUGACGGAGCAACGCCGCGUGAGUGAUGAAGGCUUUCGGGUCGUAAAACUCUGUUGUUAGGGAAGAACAAGUGCUAGUUGAAUAAGCUGGCACCUUGACGGUACCUAACCAGAAAGCCACGGCUAACUACGUGCCAGCCGCCGCCGUAA